rnacentral:lncRNA from 1 species
GUUGUUUCUUUUGUUUCAAUUUCAUUGGUUUUAGCUCUGAUUUUAAUUAUUUCCUGUCUUCUACUAAUUUUUGUGUUGGUUUGUUCUUCUUUUUCUAGGGCUUUGAGAUGUAAUGUUAGGUCAUUUAUUUGUUGACUUUUUCUUCUUUUAAGGAAUGAACACCAUGCAAUGAACAUUCCUCUUAGUACUGCCUUAAUAGUGUCCCAGAGAUUUUGAUAUGUUGUAUCAGUGUUCUCAUUUAAUUUUUUAACCUCCUCCUUGAUGUCUUUUGCAACUCAUUGUUCAUUCAGUAGCAUAUUAUUUACUCUCCAGGUGUUGGAGUAGCUUUUAUUUUUUAUUUUAUCGUUGUUUUCUAGUUUCAUUCCAUUAUGAUCUGAUAGAAUAAUGAGGAAAAUUACCCAAUUUACAAUAGCCUCAAAAAAAAAAAUAAAAUACAUGGGAAUCAACUUAACGAAAGAGGUGAAAAACCUCUAUAAUGAAAACUACAGAAUGCUAAAGAAAGAAAUUAAUUAAAUUAUUUCUUUAGAAGAUGGAAAGAUCUACCUUGUUCUUGGAUAGGCAGAAUUAAUAUUGUCAAAAUGACCAUACUACCAAAAGCAAUAUACAGAUUUAAUGCAAUUCCAGUCAAAAUCCCAAUGUCAUAGAAAUAGAAAAAUAAGUCAUGAAAUACAUCUGGAAAAAUAAGAGACCCAGAAUAGCUAAAGCAAUUCUUAGCAAGAAGAGUAAAGCAGGUAGCAUCACUAUACCAGACCUUAAACUAUACUACAGAGCAAUAGUAUAAAAAAUGGCAUGGUAUUGGCACCAAAAUAAGAUUGGUAGACCAAAGGUACAGCAUAGAGGACACAGAAACAAUCCACAUAACUACAGUUAUCUUAUAUUAAACAAAGUCACCAAAAACAUACAUUGGAGAAAAGAUAGCCUUUUCAACAAAUGGUGCUGGAAAAACUGGAAAUCCAUAUGUAAUAAAAUGAAAUUAAACCCCUCUCUCUCACCAUGCACAAAAUUCAAAGUGGAUCAAGGACCUAGGAAUUAAACCAGACACCCUGCACCUAAUAGAAGAAAAAGUAGGCCCAAAUCUCCAUCAUGUUGGAUUAGGCCCUGACUUCCUUAGACUCCAAUAGCACAAGAAUUAAAAUUAAGAAUCAAUAAAUGGGAUGGAUUCAAAAUUAAAAGCUUCUCAGCAAAAGAAACAAUCUGUGAGGUGAGUAGAGAGCCUACAUUUUGGGAGCAAAUUUUUACCACACACACAUCAG